rnacentral:rRNA from 1 species
UAACGAUACGGGACUCAUCCGAGGCCCCGUAAUCGGAAUGAGUACACUUUAAAUCCUUUAACGAGGAUCAAUUGGAGGGCAAGUCUGGUGCCAGCAGCCGCGGUAAUUCCAGCUCCAAUAGCGUAUAUUAAAGUUGUUGCGGUUAAAAAGCUCGUAGUUGAAUCUGUGUCGCACGCUGUCGGUUCGCCGCUCGCGGUGUUUAACUGACAUGCUCGUGAGACGUCCUACCGGUGGGCUUAGCUCCUUCGGGGGCGGUCCAACUAAUAUCCCAUCGCGGUGCUCUUAAUUGAGUGUCGAGGUGGGCCGGUACGUUUACUUUGAACAAAUUAGAGUGCUUAAAGCAGGCUACUUUCGCCUGAAUAAUCUGUGCAUGGAAUAAUGGAAUAGGACCUCGGUUCUAUUUUGUUGGUUUUCGGAAAUCCGAGGUAAUGAUUAAUAGGGACAGAUGGGGGCAUUCGUAUUGCGACGUUAGAGGUGAAAUUCUUGGAUCGUCGCAAGACGGACAGAAGCGAAAGCAUUUGCCAAAAAUGUUUUCAUUAAUCAAGAACGAAAGUUAGAGGUUCGAAGGCGAUCAGAUACCGCCCUAGUUCUAACCAUAAACGAUGCCAGCUAGCGAUCCGCCGAAGUUCCUCCGAUGACUCGGCGGGCAGCUUCCGGGAAACCAAAGCUUUUGGGUUCCGGGGGAAGUAUGGUUGCAAAGCUGAAACUUAAAGGAAUUGAC